rnacentral:rRNA from 1 species
UGAGGGAAAGUUGCAAAGAACUUUGAAGAGAGAGUUCAAGAGUACGUGAAACUGCUCAGAGGCAAACGAGUGGGCCCUCGAAAUCCUCUUGCGGAGAGAUUCAGUCGGGAGCCGCGGCAGGCGGAAGCGAGUAACGGACCCUCGAGAAGGACGGAUCUCGCUCCGCGGUCUCCGCGGUGCCCGACGCAUUUCUCCCCGCACUCUGGACGCCGCAAUGGAUCGGGUAGCUGCGAGAGUCGGCCUUGGGGCCGUCCCAGGCAGGUGGCCGGGUUAUCGCUCCGGCGGUUCUCGGUUAUUCACGGGGCGGUUCGUGGCGCGACACCCGAUCGACGUCGAAGUUUUCCCCUUCCGGGGAAACGAUCCGUCUCCGUCUCUCACCGAGGCGCGGCGGCCGGGACAGUGAGCGCCGAAGAUGCCGAUACCACUCCCCGCAGUGGCCGGCGCUGCGGUGGCCGUCGUUGGUUCCGGUCUGGCCGCUGCGAGACGACGCGGAUUGCGGCGAGUAGGUCGGUCACCCACUCGACCCGUCUUGAAACACGGACCAAGGAGUCUAACAUGUGCGCGAGUCGCAGGGUCUUGAACAGGCCCUCGGGCGCAAUGAAAGUGACGGUUCUCUCCGGAGACCGAGUUGGGACUCCCGGCCCGCGGGCCCGGGAAGCACCAACGACCCGUCCCUUCCGAUCCGUCGGUGGGGCGGAGUCAGAGCGUACACGUUGGGACCCGAAAGAUGGUGAGCUAUGCCUGGGCAGAACGAAGCCAGAGGAAACUCUGGUGGAGGUUCGCAGCGGUUCUGACGUGCAAUCGAUCGUCAGACCCGGG